GCCUACGGGGCGCAGCAGUGGGGAAUAUUGGGCAAUGGGCGCAAGCCUGACCCAGCAACGCCGCGUGAAGGAAGAAGGCUUUCGGGUUGUAAACUUCUUUUGUCAGGGACGAAGCAAGUGACGGUACCUGACGAAUAAGCCACGGCUAACUACGUGCCAGCAGCCGCGGUGAUACGUAGGUGGCAAGCGUUAUCCGGAUUUACUGGGUGUAAAGGGCGUGUAGGCGGGGAGGCAAGUCAGCGGUCAAAUUGCGGGGCUCAACCCCGUACUGCCGUUGAAACUGCAUCCCUUGAGUGCGCG
rnacentral:rRNA from 1 species